rnacentral:rRNA from 1 species
UACGUAGGGGGCAAGCGUUGUCCGGAAUCAUUGGGCGUAAAGAGCGUGUAGGCGGCCAGAUAAGUCCGCUGUGAAAUCUCGAGGCUCAACUUCGAGCUGUCGGUGGAAACUGUCUGGCUAGAGUCCGGAAGAGGAGAAUGGAAUUCCUGGUGUAGCGGUGAAAUGCGCAGAUAUCAGGAGGAACACCGAUGGCGAAGGCAGCUCGCUGGGACGGUACUGACGCUGAGACGCGAAAGCGUGGGGAGCGAACAGG